rnacentral:rRNA from 1 species
UACGUAGGUGGCGAGCGUUGUCCGGAUUUACUGGGCGUAAAGGGAGCGUAGGCGGACUUCUAAGUGAGAUGUGAAAUACUCGGGCUCAACUUGGGUGCUGCAUUUCAAACUGGAAGUCUAGAGUGCAGGAGAGGAGAAUGGAAUUCCUAGUGUAGCGGUGAAAUGCGUAGAGAUUAGGAAGAACACCAGUGGCGAAGGCGAUUCUCUGGACUGUAACUGACGCUGAGGCUCGAAAGCGUGGGGAGCAAACAGG